CGGAAUUCCAAGAAACAUCACCUCGAUCCGAAUCGGACGCGUUAUUUUCAAGGUAUUGGCCGGUUUACGACACAGUUUUCACUUUCGUUUUUGGUAGAAUUCGUAUCCAGAUUCACAAAGUGCCUGCAAAUUGAUGUUUUUCACUGCUCGAUGGCCGAUCAACCGCACUAGACAACAUAAGCUUUUAAGAAUUUUAACGGAAAGUAACGACUUGGAGUAUUUAUCACAGAUAUAUUUAUAAAUAAAAUCCUACUUUUUUAAAACGUU